UGGGGAAUCUUGCGCAAUGGCCGCAAGGCUGACGCAGCGACGCCGCGUGGGGGAGGAAGGGCUUCGGCUCGUAAACCCCUGUUGCCCGGGCGAAGCAGCAGGUUUCGACCUGCCUGACGGUACCGGGUGAGGAAGCACCGGCUAACUCCGUGCCAGCAGCCGCGGUAAUACGGAGGGUGCGAGCGUUGUCCGGAAUCACUGGGCGUAAAGGGCGCGUAGGUGGCCGAGCAAGGUCGCGGUGAAAGCCCGGGGCUCAACCCCGGGUCGGCCGUGGCAACUACUCGGCUUGAGCACUGUAGGGGCGGGUGGAAUUCCGGGUGUAGCGGUGGAAUGCGUAGAGAUCCGGAAGAACACCGGUGGCGAAGGCGGCCCGCUGGGCAGGAAGGCUCGCAAGAGCCGGCUGACACUGAGGCGCGACA
rnacentral:rRNA from 1 species